AGUGAACGCUGGCAGCAGGCCUAACACAUGCAAGUCGAGCGGCAGCGCGGGGGCAACCCUGGCGGCGAGCGGCGGACGGGUGAGGAAUUCGUCGGAAUCUGCCUUUUUGUGGGGGAUAACGUAGGGAAACUUACGCUAAUACCGCAUACGUCCUACGGGAGAAAGUGGGGGACCGCAAGGCCUCACGCAGAAAGAUGAGCCGACGACCGAUUAGCUAGUUGGUGGGGUAAAGGCCCACCAAGGCGACGAUCGGUAGCUGGUCUGAGAGGAUGAUCAGCCACACUGGGACUGAGACACGGCCCAGACUCCUACGGGAGGCAGCAGUGGGGAAUAUUGGACAAUGGGCGCAAGCCUGAUCCAGCCAUGCCGCGUGUGUGAAGAAGGCCUUCGGGUUGUAAAGCACUUUUGUCCGGAAAGAAAUCCCUGGAGCUAAUACCUUCGGGGGAUGACGGUACCGGAAGAAUAAGCACCGGCUAACUUCGUG
rnacentral:rRNA from 1 species